UACGAAGGGGGCUAGCGUUGUUCGGAAUUACUGGGCGUAAAGCGCGCGCAGGCGGUCCUUUAAGUCAGGGGUGAAAGCCCAGAGCUCAACUCUGGAACUGCCUUUGAAACUAGAGGACUUGGGUACGGGAGAGGUGAGUGGAAUUCCGGGUGUAGUGGUGAAAUGCGCAGAUAUCAGGAGGAACACCAAUGGCGAAGGCAGCACUCUGGGACGUGACUGACGCUGAGACGCGAAAGCGUGGGGAGCAAACGGG
rnacentral:rRNA from 1 species